AUGCAGCUGAUGAGUCUCAAGUAGGACGAAACGCACGUCUUGGAU
rnacentral:hammerhead_ribozyme from 1 species